rnacentral:sRNA from 1 species
GCCAGGCAAGGUGGUGUAUGCCUGUAAUCCUUGCUACUCAGGAGGGUGAGGCAGGAGGAUUUCAAGUUUGAGGAUAGCUUCAUCAACUCAGAGAGACCCUGUCUCAA